rnacentral:rRNA from 1 species
UCUGGAACUGCAUUAAAACUUUCAGCUAGAGUAUGAUAGAGGAAAGCAGAAUUUCUAGUGUAGAGGUGAAAUUCGUAGAUAUUAGAAAGAAUACCAAUUGCGAAGGCAGCUUUCUGGAUCAUUACUGACACUGAGGAACGAAAGCAUGGGUAGCGAAGAGGAUUAGAUACCCUCGUAGUCCAUGCCGUAAACGAUGUGUGUUAGACGUUGGAAAUUUAUUUUCAGUGUCGCAGGGAAACCGAUAAACACACCGCCUGGGGAGUACGACCGCAAGGUUAAAACUCAAAUGAAUUGACGGGGACCCGCACAAGUAGUGGAGCAUGUGGUUUAAUUCGAAGAUACGCGCAGAGCCUUACCAACACUUGACAUGUUCGUCGCGACUCUAAGAGAUUAGAGUUUUCGGUUCGGCCGGACGAAACACAGGUGCUGCAUGGCUGUCGUCAGCUCGUGUCGUGAGAUGUUGGGUUAAGUCCCGCAACGAGCGCAACCCUCACUUUUAGUUGCCAUCAUUAAGUUGGGCACUCUGAAAGAGCUGCCAGUGAUAAGCUGGAGGAAGGUGGGGAUGACGUC